GUCCUUGUAGUGCAAUGUAUUGCACGUUGGACUCAUAAUCCAAAAGACGUGGGUUCGAAUCUACCUGGGAUG